UACGUAGGGUGCGAGCGUUAAUCGGAAUUACUGGGCGUAAAGCGUGCGCAGGCGGUUCGCUAAGACCGAUGUGAAAUCCCCGGGCUUAACCUGGGAACUGCAUUGGUGACUGGCGGGCUAGAGUAUGGCAGAGGGGGGUAGAAUUCCACGUGUAGCAGUGAAAUGCGUAGAGAUGUGGAGGAAUACCGAUGGCGAAGGCAGCCCCCCUGGGCCAAUACUGACGCUCAUGCACGAAAGCGUGGGGAGCAAACAGG
rnacentral:rRNA from 1 species